rnacentral:rRNA from 1 species
UACGUAGGCAGCAAGCGUUGUUCGGAAUUACUGGGCGUAAAGGGCGCGUAGGCGGGAUGGCAAGUCGGUCGUGAAAUCCCCAGGCUCAACUUGGGAACUGCGUCUGAUACUGGAUGGCUUGAAUUCGGGAGAGGGAUGCAGAAUUCCAGGUGUAGCGGUGAAAUGCGUAGAGAUCGGGAGGAACACCAGAGGCGAAAGCGGCAUCCUGGGCCAAGCCUGACGCUGAGGCGCGAAAGCGUGGGGAGCGAACGGG